UACGAAGGGGGCUAGCGUUGUUCGGAAUUACUGGGCGUAAAGCGCACGUAGGCGGACAUUUAAGUCCGGCGUGAAAUCCCAGAGCUCAACUCUGGAACUGCGUUGGAAACUACAUGACUUGAGUAUCGGAGAGGUUAGGGGAAUUCUCGGUGUAAGGGUGAAAUCUGUAGAUAUCGAGAGGAACACCAGUGGCGAAGGCGCCUAACUGGCCGAUUACUGACGCUGAGCUGCGAAAGUAAGGGGAGCAAACAGG
rnacentral:rRNA from 1 species